rnacentral:rRNA from 1 species
CCUACGGGAGGCAGCAGUGGGGAAUAUUGCACAAUGGGGGACACCCUGAUGCAGCGACGCCGCGUGAGUGAAGAAGUAAUUCGUUAUGUAAAGCUCUCUCAGCAGGGAAGAAAAUGACGGUACCUGAGUAAGAAGCCCCGGCUCACUACGUGCCAGCAGCCGCGGUAAUACGUAGGGGGCAAGCGUUAUCCGGAUUUACUGGGUGUAAAGGGAGCGUAGACGGCAGGUCAAGUCUGGAGUGAAAGGCUGGGGCUCAACCCCCGGACUGCUCUGGAAACUGUGCGGCUUGAGUGCAGGAGAGGUAAGUGGAAUUCCUAGUGUAGCGGUGAAAUGCGUAGAUAUUAGGAGGAACACCAGUGGCGAAGGCGGCUUACUGGACUGUAACUGACGUUGAGGCUCGAAAGCGUGGGGAGCAAACAGGAUUAGAUACCCCAGUAGUC